rnacentral:rRNA from 1 species
GAUGAACGCUGGCUACAGGCUUAACACAUGCAAGUCGAGGGGAAACGACAGGGAAGCUUGCUUCCCCGGGCGUCGACCGGCGCACGGGUGAGUAACGCGUAUCCAACCUGCCUCUGACUGAGGGAUAACCCGUCGAAAGUCGGCCUAAUGCCUCAUGGCAUCGUCUGCGGGCAUCCAACGACGAUUAAAGAUUUCAUCGGUCAGGGAUGGGGAUGCGUCUGAUUAGCUUGUUGGCGGGGUAACGGCCCACCAAGGCUACGAUCAGUAGGGGUUCUGAGAGGAAGGUCCCCCACAUUGGAACUGAGACACGGUCCAAACUCCUACGGGAGGCAGCAGUGAGGAAUAUUGGUCAAUGGGCGAGAGCCUGAACCAGCCAAGUAGCGUGCAGGAUGACGGCCCUAUGGGUUGUAAACUGCUUUUAUGCGGGGAUAAAGUGAGGGACGUGUCCUUCAUUGCAGGUACCGCAUGAAUAAGGACCGGCUAAUUCCGUGCCAGCAGCCGCGGUAAUACGGAAGGUCCGGGCGUUAUCCGGAUUUAUUGGGUUUAAAGGGAGCGUAGGCCGUGGAUUAAGCGUGUUGUGAAAUGCAGGUGCUCAACGUCUGCACUGCAGCGCGAACUGGUUCACUUGAGUGUGCGCAACGCAGGCGGAAUUCGUCGUGUAGCGGUGAAAUGCUUAGAUAUGACGAAGAACUCCGAUUGCGAAGGCAGCUUGCGGGAGCACAACUGACGCUGAAGCUCGAAGGUGCGGGUAUCGAACAGG